UACGUAGGGUGCAAGCGUUAAUCGGAAUUACUGGGCGUAAAGCGUGCGGAGGCGGUUAUGUAAGACAGAUGUGAAAUGCCCGGGCUUAACCUGGGAACUGCAUUUGUGACUGCAUGGCUAGAGUGUGUCAGAGGGGGGUAGAAUUCCACGUGUAGCAGUGAAAUGCGUAGAUAUGUGGAGGAAUACCGAUGGCGAAGGCAGCCCCCUGGGAUAACACUGACGCUCAUGCACGAAAAGCGUGGGGGAGCAAACAGG
rnacentral:rRNA from 1 species